AACGAACGCUGGCGGCAGGCCUAACACAUGCAAGUCGAGCGCACCUUCGGGUGAGCGGCGGACGGGUUAGUAACGCGUGGGAACGUACCCUUUUCUAAGGAAUAGCCACUGGAAACGGUGAGUAAUACCUUAUACGCCCUUCGGGGGAAAGAUUUAUCGGAGAAGGAUCGGCCCGCGUUAGAUUAGAUAGUUGGUGGGGUAACGGCCUACCAAGUCUACGAUCUAUAGCUGGUUUUAGAGGAUGAUCAGCAACACUGGGACUGAGACACGGCCCAGACCCCUACGGGAGGCAGCAGUGGGGAAUCUUGGACAAUGGGCGCAAGCCUGAUCCAGCCAUGCCGCGUGAGUGAUGAAGGCCUUAGGGUCGUAAAGCUCUUUCGCUGGGGAUGAUAAUGACAGUACCCAGUAAAGAAACCCCGGCUAACUCCGUGCCAGCAGCCGCGGUAAUACGGAGGGGGUUAGCGUUGUUCGGAAUUACUGGGCGUAAAGCGCGCGUAGGCGGAUUGGAAAGUUGGGGGUGAAAUCCCGGGGCUCAACCUCGGAACUGCCUCCAAAACUAUCAGUCUAGAGUUCGAGAGAGGUGAGUGGAAUUCCGAGUGUAGAGGUGAAAUUCGUAGAUAUUCGGAGGAACACCAGUGGCGAAGGCGGCUCACUGGCUCGAUACUGACGCUGAGGUGCGAAAGUGUGGGGAGCAAACAGGAUUAGAUACCCUGGUAGUCCACACCGUAAACGAUGAAUGCCAGUCGUCAGCAAGCAUGCUUGUUGGUGACACACCUAACGGAUUAAGCAUUCCGCCUGGGGAGUACGGUCGCAAGAUUAAAACUCAAAGGAAUUGACGGGGGCCUGCACAAGCGGUGGAGCAUGUGGUUUAAUUCGAAGCAACGCGCAGAACCUUACCAGCCUUUGACAUCCUAGGACGGUUUCUGGAGACAGAUUCCUUCCCUUCGGGGACCUAGUGACAGGUGCUGCAUGGCUGUCGUCAGCUCGUGUCGUGAGAUGUUGGGUUAAGUCCCGCAACGAGCGCAACCCUCGUCCUUAGUUGCCAUCAUUCAGUUGGGCACUUUAAGGAAACUGCCGGUGGUAAGCCGGAGGAAGGUGGGGAUGACGUCAAGUCCUCAUGGCCCUUACAGGCUGGGCUACACACGUGCUACAAUGGCGGUGACAGUGGGCAGCAAGCACGCGAGUGCAAGCUAAUCUCCAAAAACCGUCUCAGUUCGGAUUGUUCUCUGCAACUCGAGAGCAUGAAGGCGGAAUCGCUAGUAAUCGCGGAUCAGCAUGCCGCGGUGAAUACGUUCCCAGGCCUUGUACACACCGCCCGUCACACCAUGGGAGUUGGGUUCACCCGAAGGCGUUGCGCUAACCUUUUAGGAGGCAGGCGACCACGGUGGGCUUAGCGACUGGGGUG
rnacentral:rRNA from 1 species